rnacentral:sRNA from 1 species
GAGCGCGGAGCGCCGCCGCCGCCUCCGCCGGAGCGCGGGUGGAGGGGGGCGGGGAGAGCUGCCGGCCGCCCCGCUCCGCCGAACCCAGCAGGAAGGAGGGCGCGAGCGGGCGAGCGCGGGAGGAAAAAGCGCCCGCGCGGGGGAGCGAAAAGAAGGAAAGAAAGAAAGAAAACGAGCGCGAGAGGGGGAAAAGCGAGCGAUCGAGCGAGCGCGCGCGCGAAAACUCCCGGCAGGAAGGUGGACUUUUAAAUAUUCUCCACUGAAGCAAAUGCUGCAACAAUCUGCAUUUCCUUCACCAACGUCUUCUUGUGCCUUUUCUUGUUUCUACUGUAAAGGAGAUGGGUUAGAUGUU